CAGUCGCCACGGUAAUACGUAGGUCCCGAGCGUUGUCCGGAUUUAUUGGGCGUAAAGCGAGCGCAGGCGGUUAGACAAGUCUGAAGUUAAAGGCUGUGGCUUAACCAUAGUACGCUUUGGAAACUGUUUAACUUGAGUGCAAGAGGGGAGAGUGGAAUUCCAUGUGUAGCGGUGAAAUGCGUAGAUAUAUGGAGGAACACCAGUGGCGAAGGCGACUCUCUGGUCUGUAACUGACGCUGAGGAGCGAAAGCGUGGGGAGCGAACAGGAUUAGAUACCCCAGUAGUCCCUGUCUCUUAUACA
rnacentral:rRNA from 1 species